rnacentral:rRNA from 1 species
AUGGACAGCGACGCCGACGAGAGCAAGCCGCUGCUCCACCGCUCGCCCGCCUCCACCUCGCCGACGCGGGAUGGCCCCUCCGGCAACGACGACCUAUCCGGCGAUCGGACUCGGCGCUACUCGCCCCCUCGCUCUCCUUCUCCUCCGACCCCGUCGCCGCUCGCCAAGGGGCGGUCGACCUCGCCCUCCUCGACCUCGCCGCUCGCCAAGAACCCGAUGGCCUCCGACGCCGACAAGCCCUCCAACGGCAACAGCACCAGGGGCGCGGCCUCGCCUCGUCGUUCUCCGACGCCAUCGUCGUCCGCCGACAUAGGGAAGCAAGGACAUGAGCCGCAACCGGCUCCCAAGGCGGAAGAGGAGGCGGCGGCCGACUCCAGGUCCAAGAACCACAAAGAAGAGCGAGAUAAGGCAUCUCCUGGCGAGGAGAAGGAGAAGACGGCGGAGGCACCCGCUGCUCUCAGCGAGAAGGAGAAGGCGGCGGCGGCACCCGCUGUUCUCAGCGAGAAGGGGAAGGCGGCGGCGGCACCCGCUGCUCCCAGCGAGAAGGAGAAGGCGGCGGCAGCACCCGCUGCUCUGAGCGAGAAGGAGAAGGCGGCAUCCGCCCGCAAGAAGGCGGAAAUCGCCGGCUGCUUUCCAUCCCCCUUCCCAGCGUUUCCAAUGGCGUCAACCACGUCGUCGAUGUCGAUGGCCCGUCGGUCGAUAACUCGGAAGCGGAGGGGAGGGACUUGA